GGGGCCGUAGCUCAGUUGGGAGAGCGCGACGUUCGCAAUGUCGAGGUCAGGGGUUCGAUUCCCCUCGGCUCCACCA
rnacentral:tRNA from 8 species